rnacentral:rRNA from 1 species
UAUGUUUAACGGCCGCGGUAUUUUAACCGUGCAAAGGUAGCGCAAUCACUUGUCUCUUAAAUGGAGACCUGUAUGAAUGGCACAACGAGGGCUUAACUGUCUCCUUUUUCAAGUCAAUGAAAUUGAUCUUCCCGUGCAGAAGCGGGAAUAUAACCAUAAGACGAGAAGACCCUAUGGAGCUUUAGACACUAAAGCAGCUCAUGUUAAAUAUCCCUAAGAAAGGACCAAACCAAAGGAAACCUGCCCUAUUGUCUUCGGUUGGGGCGACCGCGGGGAAACAAAAAUCCCCCACGUGGAACGGGAGGACCCCAUCUUCCCCCUCCUAAAACUAAGAGCCCCCGCUCUAGUUAACAGAACUUCUGACCAAUAAUGAUCCGGCAACGCCGAUCAACGGACCAAGUUACCCUAGGGAUAACAGCGCAAUCCCCUUUUAGAGCCCAUAUCGACAAGGGGGUUUACGACCUCGAUGUUGGAUCAGGACAUCCUAAUGGUGCAGCCGCUAUUAAGGGUUCGUU